AUACGGAGGGUGCGAGCGUUAAUCGGAAUUACUGGGCGUAAAGCGUGCGUAGGUGGCUUGGUAAGUCGGAUGUGAAAGCCCUGGGCUCAACCUGGGAACUGCAUUCGAUACUGCCUAGCUAGAGUAUGGUAGAGGGAAGUGGAAUUUCCGGUGUAGCGGUGAAAUGCGUAGAUAUCGGAAGGAACACCAGUGGCGAAGGCGACUUGCUGGACUAAUACUGACGCUGAGGAGCGAAAGCGUGGGGAGCAAACGGGAUUAGAAACCCCGGUAGUCC
rnacentral:rRNA from 1 species